rnacentral:rRNA from 1 species
GUGGGUGAUCUGCCUUGCACGUUCGGGAUAAGCCUGGGAAACUGGGUCUAAUACCGGAUAGGACCAUGCUUUAGUGUGUGUGGUGGAAAGUUUUUCGGUGCAAGAUGAGCCCGCGGCCUAUCAGUUUGUUGGUGAGGUAGUGGCUCACCAAGGCGAUGACGGGUAGCCGGCCUGAGAGGGCGACCGGCCACACUGGGACUGAGACACGGCCCAG